CCUACGGGAGGCAGCAGUGAGGAAUAUUGGUCAAUGGACGAGAGUCUGAACCAGCCAAGUAGCGUGAAGGAUGACUGCCCUAUGGGUUGUAAACUUCUUUUAUAUGGGAAUAAAAUGUUCCACGUGUGGGAUUUUGUAUGUACCAUAUGAAUAAGGAUCGGCUAACUCCGUGCCAGCAGCCGCGGUAAUACGGAGGAUCCGAGCGUUAUCCGGAUUUAUUGGGUUUAAAGGGAGCGUAGGUGGAUUGUUAAGUCAGUUGUGAAAGUUUGCGGCUCAACCGUAAAAUUGCAGUUGAAACUGGCAGUCUUGAGUACAGUAGAGGUGGGCGGAAUUCGUGGUGUAGCGGUGAAAUGCUUAGAUAUCACGAAGAACUCCGAUUGCGAAGGCAGUUCACUGGACUGCAACUGACACUGAGGCUCAAAAGUGUGGGUAUCAAACAGGAUUAGAUACCCCAGUAGUC
rnacentral:rRNA from 1 species